CCUACGGGAGGCAGCAGUGAGGAAUCUUGGUCAAUGGGCGCGAGCCUGAACCAGCCAAGUAGCGUGAAGGAUGACUGCCCUACGGGUUGUAAACUUCUUUUAUAAAGGAAUAAAGUGAUGCACGUGUGCCUUUUUGUAUUUACUUUAUGAAUAAGGAUCGGCUAACUCCGUGCCAGCAGCCGCGGGAAUACGGAGGAUCCUAGCGUUCUCCGGAUUUAUUUGGUUUAAAGGGAGCGUAGAUGGGUUGUUAAGUCAGUUGUGAAAGUUUGCGGCUCAACCGUAAAAUUGCAAUUGAUACUGGCAGUCUUGAGUACAGUUGAGGUAGGCGGAAUUCGUGGUGUAGCGGUGAAAUGCUUAGAUAUCACGAAGAACUCCGAUUGCGAAGGCAGCUUACUAAACUGCCACUGACAUUGAUGCUCGAAAGUGUGGGUAUCAAACAGGAUUAGAUACCCGAGUAGUC
rnacentral:rRNA from 1 species